rnacentral:misc_RNA from 1 species
UUGUUAGAUUGGAUGUUAAUUGUGAUGCUUUUAUGAUUGCUGUGGAUUUGAUCAUUGUUCGACCUAAUCUUUGUUGAGUUCUAGCCUAUUCAAAGUUACUAUUUUUUGCGAUUUCUUUUUAACACAUCCAAACAUGGCGUACAAUAAAAAAUUUCUAGGGUUUUUGUCUAUUGUAUGAUCCUCCUUUCAACAUUUUACGCAAAUUCCAUCAGCUGUUCACAUAUUGCAUUUUUUACCCUGUAGUCGUCUCUGUAUUCUUAUUCGCCCCAAUGCAAUUAUCACCAUUAGAAGUCAGAUUCCAUUUUUCAUUUUUCUUCAUAGAUUCCUUGAAAUUUUAUUCUUGUUGAGUUGAUAAUCUUUUUGUAUCGCCUUAUCGAUUUCUUAAUGGUGUUAUGGCUUGCAGAAAAUUCAGCUAGCUAAGCAAAUUUUGAUCAGCUGUUAUAUUUUGAAAAAUAUAUUUAUUUCUCACUGCCACUGAGAAGAGAAGUUGGGCAUGGCAGAACAGACGAGAAGGAUCCCAUCUCAACAGGUUAUUGCAACCAGUGAGUGCUUAUCGGAAAAGCCUCAGUUCCACAUGUGCAAGUGGUACUUCAGUAGGCACGAAAUUGAAGAUUGUUCCCCUUCUAGACAGGAUGGAAUUGACUUUGAGAAAGAGUCUCAACUACGGAAGUUUUACUGCUCAUUUAUUAAAGAACUUGGCAAGAAGCUUAAAGUACCUCAGGUGACGAUAGCAUGCGCAUUGAUCUUAUGCCACCAGUUUUACAUGCGUCAGUCUCAUGCAAAGAAUGAUUGGCAGACAAUGGCAACUGCAAGCAUGUUUCUCGCUUGCAAAAUAGAAGAAACCCCACGCUUGCUGAGGGAUGUUGUUGUUGUGGCUUAUGAGAUGAUAAACAAAUGGGAUUCUUCUGCCCCACAAAGAAUCCGAAGAAUAGAAAUCUGUGAUAAGCAGAAGGAAUUGAUCACAAGUGGGGAGAGGCUAUUAUUGGCAACAAUUGCAUUUGAUCUCAAUAUCCAACUCCCCUACAGGCCACUUGUUGAUGCUUUAAAGAAACUGAAUAUAUUCCCAGAUCUUGCAAAAGUAGCAUGGAAUUUUGUGAAUGACUGGCUCUGUACAACAUUGUGUUUGCAGUACAAGCCCCAUUAUGUUGCAGCUGGCUCCCUGUUCCUUGCUGCCAAAUUUCAAAAAGUUAAACUGCCUACAGAAAAGGGAAAGGUUUGGUGGCUGGAGUUUGAUAUUUCACCUAAACAAUUGGAGGAGGUCACUCAAGAGAUGGUUAGGUUGUUGGAGCAAGACAAGAAACGAGCUGUGCCUUUACCACAGGAGAAGGUACUGAGUGGACCUUCAGUUGGAAAGAUGAAUACCAAUAGCCCACAAUCAACAAUUACAAGUGUAUCAAUUGCCAGUUCACAUUCUAGUGGAGGAACUGUGAUAGAAUCUCAGGUCUUGAGUGAGAGAAACUGUGGUCUGAAACAAGCUUUACCAUGUCAAACAAGUGAUACUGGUGAUGCAAGUAAUAUUGUUGAUGAUGAUGGCAAGAGUAAACCAAGAACAGAGAAAGUUGAUUUGGUUUCAAGCUGUAAGAUUGCCCCAAUCCAUGAUUCGUAUGGUAAGAUUGAUGCUAACCGGAUUAGAGAGGCAUUGAGGCGGAGGAGACGUGAAGGAGCUGCAAAUCAAAUGUCCAAUAAAAUCAUGAAUACUGAAUUAGAUAGUGAAGCCUGGAUAGAGAGGGAGCUGGAGAAUGGAAUAGAGCUUGAAUCAGCUUCUUCAGGAAAGAAACAAAGAACGGUGUGAUGAAGUUGUCAAGUAAAGUAUCCAUAGGUUACAUGCCAGUGACUAGAAUUCCUCCUCAACAGCUGUAAGUUUCAGGAUCACUUUCUGGAAGGAAAUUGUACAAGUACAGAAGAGUCGUUGACAUUGUUCUGCAAGAAUAAUGGCCUUGUAGAUGCAGAAUUACAAUAUUACAGUAUUUAUGUACAGCUUUUUAGAAAGUGGAGCCAAUUGAGCUUUUUAUUUUAUUUUAUUAUAUUAUAUUUUUGUACCGACUGCAAUGGAGUAAUCAAGUGUAUAAAUAAUCAUUUUAUGUGAAUGGUUUUUUGAGAUUGGCGUGUAACGGAG